AAUCCAAUAAACCCGAUGGGGUUUGUGUCUGGGCAUUCGCCUUUGGGCGUGGCCUCAAAGUCAUCUGUCUUAUGAGCGGACGUGAUCCUCGUGGACUUGACCGUUUGUUUGACCAUUUCAUCUCUG
rnacentral:misc_RNA from 1 species